UACGUAGGGACCGAGCGUUGUCCGGAUUCAUUGGGCGUAAAGAGCUCGUAGGCGGCUGCUCAAGUCGAAUGUGAAAACUCGAGGCUCAACCUCGAGCCUGCAUUCGAUACUGGGCGGCUAGAGUCUGGUAGGGGGAUCUGGAAUUCCUGGUGUAGCGGUGGAAUGCGCAGAUAUCGAGAGGAACACCUGCGGCGAAGGCGGGUUGCUGGGCUGACACUGACGCUGAUGCGCGAAAGCUAGGGGAGCGAACGGG
rnacentral:rRNA from 1 species